UACGUAGGGUGCGAGCGUUGUCCGGAAUUACUGGGCGUAAAGAGCUCGUAGGUGGUUUGUCGCGUUAUUCGUGAAAACUCACAACUCAAUUGUGGGCGUGCGGGCGAUACGGGCAGACUAGAGUACUGCAGGGGAGACUGGAAUUCCUGGUGUAGCGGUGAAAUGCGCAGAUAUCAGGAGGAACACCGGUGGCGAAGGCGGGUCUCUGGGCCGAUACUGACGCUGAGGAGCGAAAGCGUGGGGAGCGAACAGG
rnacentral:rRNA from 1 species